CCUACGGGUGGCAGCAGUGAGGAAUAUUGGACAAUGGACGAGAGUCUGAACCAGCCAUGUAGCGUGAAGGAUGACUGCCCUAUGGGUUGUAAACUUCUUUUAUAUGGGAAUAAAAUGUUCCACGUGUGGGAUUUUGUAUGUACCAUAUGAAUAAGGAUCGGCUAACUCCGUGCCAGCAGCUGCGGUAAUACGGAGGAUCCGAGCGUUACCCGGAUUUAUUGGGUUUAAAGGGAGCGUAGGUGGAUUGUUAAGUCAGUUGUGAAAGUUAGGGGCUCAACCGUAAAAUUGCAGUUGAAACUGGCAGUCUUGAGUACAGUAGAGGUGGGCGGAAUUCGUGGUGUAGCGGUGAAAUGCUUAGAUAUCAGGAAGAACUCCGAUGGCGAAGGCAGUUCACUGGACUGCAACUGACACUGAGGCUCGAAAGUGUGGGUAUCAAACAGGAUUAGAUACCCGAGUAGUC
rnacentral:rRNA from 1 species